AUACGGAGGGUGCGAGCGUUAAUCGGAAUUACUGGGCGUAAAGCGUACGUAGGUGGUUUGUUAAGUCAGAUGUGAAAGCCCUGGGCUCAACCUGGGAAUGGCAUUUGAAACUGACGAGCUAGAAUAUGGUAGAGGGAAGUGGAAUUCCGGGUGUAGCGGUGAAAUGCGUAGAUAUCCGGAGGAACACCAGUGGCGAAGGCGGCUUCCUGGACCAAUAUUGACGCUGAGGUACGAAAGCGUGGGUAGCAAACAGGAUUAGAAACCCGAGUAGUCC
rnacentral:rRNA from 1 species